CCUGAUUCGAUGUCGUUGCAUCGCACAAAUGUGGCCUCAACUUAUUCUUCCACACUUCCUCGAAAGCAACCGCGUCCCCACCAAACCUCUUCACCUCGACCACAACCAUCUCAGCGGUUAAUCGGUAAAUCUCAAUCCCAAUCACCAAAUCCCCAUUCUGCUCUUCAAUUUCCACCCCACAUUCCUUCUUCCUCCUCACCACAAGUCCCUCUGCCUUCGCGGCCGCCUCAGCCUUCUCCACAACCUUCUCCGGUAACUCCCUCAACAUAAACCUCUCACCUUCACCACCAUCAAUAAAAAACCCUGAAAGAUUCAACCCUCUAGAGAAAAACGAUAUAAUAUCAAACGCAUUGAAAUCCAACGGUUUUCCCUCUUCUUCCCCAUUAUUAACCUUCUUCUCAAA
rnacentral:lncRNA from 1 species